UAGGAUAUAAAUCAUUUGAUUGAAUACAGAGUAGAGAAACCUUAUAUUUCACUCGGCACCCAUCUAUCUCCCGAACCCCUAUCACCCGAAACUCCCCUCUCCGUCCAACUUUGUGACGAGAUCUCCUCUAGGGUUCGCACAGAUCUGGGAAGAUCACUAUCGCUCGCCCUCUCCUCAGUUCUCUCCGCCUCUCUAACGCCUUCUUCGUCACCCUCUCCGUCGUUUCCUCUGGCGUAUGAGAGCUUCGUGAGGCUAUCAACGGCGCCGACCGUACCUGAUCCAAUGGCUGUCGCACUGUACUCUUUGUCGAUGAGAUCCACCGAUUCUCCAAGUUCCAGCAAGACUCCUUCCUCCCCGCCAUCGAAGAUGGUUCCAUCAUUCUCAUUGGUGCCACCACCGAGAGAACCCUAAUCUCAUUUUCCAAUUGCCUAAAAUUUUCUCGCCUGCGACGCCAUCACAGCCUCGGAAGCUCGCGUCCUUGCGAGCUCUGCAGUUCACGGGUUCGUGAGUGUUGCUACCUGCCGCUUGCAGCCUCGUGUGCGCUGCUGCCUGCCGCUCGCGAGUGUUGCCGCCUGCUGCUCGCGAUGGACAGAUUUCUAUGGCAGCUUUCAUUCUAUCUUUAGGAUCCAUGACUUGCACUCCAAAUUGACUCAUGGGCUUUCUUAAUGUAGUUGAAUUGAGAGCAUCAAAAUAUUAAUCAUCAAACAUGGAUUUACAAUGACAGUAUACGAAAGCUGGGCAUAAAAAUGAGUCAAAAAAUAUAGCAGAUUCAAGGAUCUACAAAAGUUGGACAUAUGAAAGUUGGACAUGGAUCUCUUCUGGCUCUACUGAAGUAGUGAUCAAUCCUCUUGUUAAAAUGAUCAAGAAAACAUAUAGUAGAUCCAAGGUAUCCAAGAGCAGUAACUCAGAUGAAGCUAAGUACUUUCGUUGCCCACAACUGUGAAUUUAGUAAAAAUUUGUUUAUUUUUAAUUUUCUGAUUAUGAUGGUGCCAUGCAGCAUGAAUUAUUUGAUAUUAUGAAAUGAGUUCAUGAACCACAAUUGCUUUAGCAAUUACACCUACUAAAGCAUUCAGUAUCCAUAAAUUCACGUCUCUUCUCUUUUAUCCUCCAUAUAAGAGUAUUCAAUUGUGAUGUGGAUGCAGAGGAAUCAUUCUGGUAAGGGUAUGAUUAUAUAUGAAAAUCUGGUUAGACCAUGGGAUUAACAAGAGCCAAGAGAUGUUUAUGGAAGUUGCAUUAUUUUAUUAGGCUGUUCUGGCUGUUAGGCAGACUUAUGCAGUUCAAUAAUGCUAUAGUUGUUGAUACAUUCAUUGGACUUGCAAUUUUAUACAACUCAUCAUUUAUCAAAUUAAGAUGGACUUUGUAGUGAUCUAAUAUGACACAUUCUCAAGAUGACAGAAACUUUGUUUUAUUUGUGACAGCUUCUUUUGGUCGACUGCUUGCUUGCUUGCAAAUUUACAAUUUGUUUCUCAAGAUGUAACGUGUUGUUCAACAGUGAUUUUCUCAAUGCCAGGUGCAAAAGAGGCAGAUUUAUGGCAUCACUAAUGUGCUUGAAGGGAUAGGAUUUAUGCCAAUGCUGCAGAUUACAGGAGCAACAACUAUAUGCUAUGUGACACUGCAUCUGAACCUCAGGGGUGUGACUGAGAAGUACUUCGACGAAGAACUAUCAAGAAAGUUUUAAGCCAGAAGAUGGUUAAAGUCAAUGAUUAAAAAACAUUCAAAUCAAGAGGAUAAGUAGCAUUUAUCAAGAUCCUUUAAGUUCAUGCAAUAAGAUGUAGUCGAUAAGAGUAGUUUUGAGUGUCUUCUAAUUAAAAUUUCUUUGUAUGCAA